GUAGGUCUGGCAGCAUCUUUGGAGAGAAAGCAGAGGAGCCAUGACCAGGGUGAAGAUAGCAGGAAACAUGUUUCAGAAUCAGAGCAGGAGCAACAAACUUACACAGAUCAAAGGUUCGAAAGAAAUACUGCAACUUGAAAACCUUGAAAACCAAAUGAAAUAAACCCAAAGAAAUAAUACAACCUAUGAAUACUUUAUGAACCCAAGCUAAAGAUCACUAUUGACUUGAUAAAGACAAAAACACUGCAGAUACUGGAAUCAC